CGGGUGCACUGAUCCAGCCGGGCCUUUCCCUCUGUGGAACCCCAUGGCCUUCACUGGCUGUGGCGGGGAAACAGGACUUUUACUUUGAAAAAAUUAGAGUGCUCCAGGCAGGCCUAUGCUCGAAUACAUUAGCAUGGAAUAAUAGAAUAGGACGUGUGGUUCUAUUUUGUUGGUUUCUAGGACCGCCGUAAUGAUUAAUAGGGACAGUCGGGGGCAUCAGUAUUCAAUUGUCAGAGGUGAAAUUCUUGGAUCUAUUGAAGACUAACUACUGCGAAAGCAUUUGCCAAGGAUGUUUUCAUUGAUAAGGAACGAAAGUUAGGGGAUCGAAGACGAUCAGAUACCGUCGUAGUCUUAACUAUAAACUAUGCCGACUAGGGAUCGGACGAUGUUAUUCUUUGACGCGUUCGGCACCUUUCGAGAAAUCAAAGUGCUUGGGCUCCAGGGGGAGUAUGGUCGCAAGGCUGAAACUUAAAGAAAUUGACGGAAGGGCACCACCAGGGGUGGAAACCUGCGGCUUAAUUUGACUCAACACGGGGAAACUCACCAGGUCCAGACACAGUGAGGAUUGACAGAUUGAGAGCUCUUUCUUGAUUCUGUGGGUGGUGGUGCAUGGCCGUUCUUAGUUGGUGGAGUGAUUUGUCUGCUUAAUUGCGAUAACGAACGAGACCUUAACCUGCUAAAUAGCCCGUACUGCUUUGGCAGUUCGCCGGCUUCUUAGAGGGACUAUCGG
rnacentral:rRNA from 1 species